rnacentral:rRNA from 1 species
AGGACGAACGCUGGCGGCGUGCUUAACACAUGCAAGUCGAGCGGAAAGGCCCUUCGGGGUACUCGAGCGGCGAACGGGUGAGUAACACGUGAGCAACCUGCCCUUAGCUCCGGGAUAGCUCCGGGAAACCGGAAUUAAUACCGGAUACGACCACGGCCGACAUCUGCUGUGGUGGAAAGGAUUCCGGCUAAGGAUGGGCUCGCGGCCUAUCAGCUAGUUGGUGGAGUAACGGCCCACCAAGGCGACGACGGGUAGCCGGCCUGAGAGGGCGACCGGCCACACUGGGACUGAGACACGGCCCAGACUCCUACGGGAGGCAGCAGUGGGGAAUAUUGCGCAAUGGGCGAAAGCCUGACGCAGCGACGCCGCGUGGGGGAUGAAGGCCUUCGGGUUGUAAACCCCUUCAGCAGGGACGAAGCGAAAGUGACGGUACCUGCAGAAGAAGCGCCGGCUAACUACGCGCCAGCAGCCGC